rnacentral:lncRNA from 1 species
ACAGUGCAGCCUCCAGCCAGAAGGAUGGGGUGGCUCCCACUCCUGCUGCUUCUGACUCAAUGCUUAGGGGUCCCUGGGCAGCGCUCGCCAUUGAAUGACUUCCAAGUGCUCCGGGGCACAGAGCUACAGCACCUGCUACAUGCGGUGGUGCCCGGGCCUUGGCAGGAGGAUGUGGCAGAUGCUGAAGAGUGUGCUGGUCGCUGUGGGCCCUUAAUGGACUGCCGGGCCUUCCACUACAACGUGAGCAGCCAUGGUUGCCAACUGCUGCCAUGGACUCAACACUCGCCCCACACGAGGCUGCGGCGUUCUGGGCGCUGUGACCUCUUCCAGAAGAAAGGUACACGCCCACUCUCCGGAAUGGCCUGGAAGAGAACUUCUGCCGUAACCCUGAUGGCGACCCCGGAGGUCCUUGGUGCUACACAACAGACCCUGCUGUGCGCUUCCAGAGCUGCGGCAUCAAAUCCUGCCGGGAGGCCGCGUGUGUCUGGUGCAAUGGCGAGGAAUACCGCGGCGCGGUAGACCGCACGGAGUCAGGGCGCGAGUGCCAGCGCUGGGAUCUUCAGCACCCGCACCAGCACCCCUUCGAGCCGGGCAAGUACGCGUAGGCGGUAUCGGCGUCCUGGGGGCCGGGCUAGGGAAGGUCCAGGACUCCAGGGGCAGGGCUCCGUGUAGGGCAAUUGGGCGGGGCCAGAUAAGCCAGAGUCCCAGGGUCUUGUUCACGCCCCAUUACCGCCCCCAGGUUCCUCGACCAAGGUCUGGACGACAACUAUUGCCGGAAUCCUGACGGCUCCGAGCGGCCAUGGUGCUACACUACGGAUCCGCAGAUCGAGCGAGAGUUCUGUGACCUCCCCCGCUGCGGUAGGCGGCGGGGACCAGGCCUGGGAGGGUACCUGGGAACCUUGGGGAGGGGCGUGGCUUGGCCGGGGAGGUAAGAGGGGCUGGGCGUGACCUGAGAGCAUACCCCGUGGAGUACCGUACACCUGGGAAAGGCGGGUUUGGUCCCAGCCCCAGAGGGAUCUCAGCUCUCGCUCGGGGCCCGACCUAUCUCGGUCCAUCUAAGGGUCCGAGGCACAGCCCCGCCAAGAGGCCACAACUGUCAGCUGCUUCCGCGGGAAGGGUGAGGGCUACCGGGGCACAGCCAAUACCACCACUGCGGGCGUACCUUGCCAGCGUUGGGACGCGCAAAUCCCGCAUCAGCACCGAUUUACGCCAGAAAAAUACGCGUGCAAGUGAGGUGGGGGGGGGGGGCGGGCGUUGGGACGUGCUGCUGCGGGUGAGACGGGAGGAAGGUAGUCACGGGCUCAAGGCUGGAGGCUGGCGGGCUAGGGCUGAGUGGAGCGCCUGCUUAGAGACCUUCGGGAGAACUUCUGCCGG